rnacentral:rRNA from 1 species
AGCGGUAGCACAGAGAGCUUGCUCUCGGGUGACGAGCGGCGGACGGGUGAGUAAUGUCUGGGAAACUGCCUGAUGGAGGGGGAUAACUACUGGAAACGGUAGCUAAUACCGCAUAACGUCGCCACAAGACCGCGAAAGUGGGGGACCUUCGGGCCUCAUAGCCAUCAGAUGUGCCCAGAUGUGGGAUUAGCUAGUAGGUGGGGUAACGGCUCACCUAGGCGACGAUCCCUAGCUGGUCUGAGAGGAUGACCAGCCACACUGGAACUGAGACACGGUCCAGACUCCUACGGGAGGCAGCAGUGGGGAAUAUUGCACAAUGGGCGCAAGCCUGAUGCAGCCAUGCCGCGUGUGUGAAGAAGGCCUUCGGGUUGUGCAAAGCACUUUCAGACGGGGAGGAAGGCGAUAAGGUUAAUAACCUCGUCGAUUGACGUUACCCGCAGAAGAAGCACCGGCUAACUCCGUGCCAGCAGCCGCUGGUAAUACUUGGA